UGGCGGAGGCGCCUGUGACGUAACCCGGAAGUAACGGGCCCCGCCACGACGAACCGGCCCCACAAGCGCGAGCGACAGACGUGUGGAGCGAUGGACGUGAUGGAGGACGCGCCCCGCGCCGACGACGAGGAACGUUUUGAGGAUGCCUACGAGCGCAUUCCCACCGCGUGUCACAUGGACCUGCAAUCGGCCAUCCAGGAGACUCAAUGCGCCCUCAACCUGGUCCUCAACAACAAGUUCUCCGAGGCCCUGGACCUGCUGAAGCCAUGGUGGCGCGACAGCAUGUACCACGCUUUGGGUUACAGCAGCAUCUUGGUGAUGCAAGCCGCCAUGACCUUUGAGCACAGGGACAUCCAGAUGGCCAUGGCAACCGUCAAGGAAGCCUUGCACACCUGUCAGAGGUUCCGCAAGAAGAACUCGGUGGUGGGAUCGCUCUCCGGUCUCAUCAGCAGGCAGUCCAACCUGCAGGAAGAGGAGAUGCACGCCGAGCUGUGCUACGCCGAGUGCUUGCUCCAGAAAGCCACGCUGACUUUUGUGCAGGACGAGAACAUGAUCAGCUUCAUCAAGGGGGGGAUCAAAGUCCGAAGCAGCUAUCUCAUCUACAAGGAUUGUCACAACGUGCUGAGCGCGGCAAACGACACGGACAGCCAGUCCGACUUGCACCGGCAGUUUGAGGGCGGAGUCAAGUUGGGCGUGGGCUCCUUCAACUUGAUGCUGUCCCUGCUCCCGCAGCGGAUCCUGAGGCUGCUGGAGUUCAUCGGCUUCUCCGGGAACAGGGAGUUCGGCCUGUCCCAGCUGCGAGAGGGAACGUGCGGCUCCACGCUGCGCUCCAUCUUGUGCACGCUGACGCUGCUCUUCUACCACACCUACGUCUCCCUGGUGCUGGGAAGCGGCGAAGGAAACUUGGCGGAAGCCGAAGCUCUGCUGGAGCCCUACCUUCUCAAGUAUCCCAAAGGCGCCAUCAUUCAGUUCUACUCGGCCCGGCUGGCCGCGCUGCGAGGACAUUUUGAAAAGGCGUGCCUGGGCUACCAGGAGUGUGUGAGCAGCCAGCAGGAGUGGAAGCAGAUCCACCACCUGUGCUACUGGGAGCUCAUGUGGACCCACACGUACCAGCAGGAUUGGCCGCAGGCGUACCGCUACGCCCAGCUGCUGUGUCGCGAGAGCCGCUGGUCCAAGGCCAUCUACGUCUACCAGAAGGCCGCCAUCCUCAGCAUGAUGUCAGAGGAGGACGCGAAGAAGACGGGCGAAGACGUGGUGGAGCUCUUCAGGCAAGUGGAGGGGCUCAAGCAGCGGCUGGCGGGAAAGUCCAUCCCCACCGAGAAGUUUGCCGUCAGGAAAUCUCGCCGCUACAAGGCCGGCCUGGUCCCGGUGCCGCUGGUGCUUCCUGCUCUGGAAAUGAUGUACGUUUGGAGCGGCUUCACCAUCGUAGCCAAGCGAGCCGACUGCAGCGAGGCGCUGCUGGUGACCAUCGAGGCGGCCGAGGAGCAGCUUGGACACGACCCCCAGCCGUCCGAGUUCCACGUGGACGACACGUGUCUGGUGCAGAUGUUGAAGGGUCUUUGUCUCAAGCACGCCGGACGCCUGUUGCAGGCCGAGCUCUGCUUCACUCACGUCCUGUCCAGUGAAAAUCGCAUCCGCUAUGAUCACUACCUGGUGCCCUUCACGUUGUACGAGCUGGCCCUCCUCUACCGACAGCAGGGCGACGAUGCCAAGGCUGCGGCCUACAUGGAAAAUGCCAAGAGCAACUACAAGGACUACUCCAUGGAGUCCCGACUGCACUUUCGUAUCCACGCGGCCCUCGGCAGCCUGAAAAGUUCGCCUGCUGCCACCCCGUAACAGCCAGCGUCUCUCUCGCCCGCACGCAGUCAAGGUGCGAACGUCACAUGACCAAACUCAGAAGAGCCGUGACCGGUCGUCAGCUGGGAUGUGAUUUUCAGUUGGAAGAUAUUUGUUGCUGAAUUCCAGAGGACCUCCACCUAGACACAUUGUGACCAAAAAGUUCAGGCAGCUUGAUCCGAGACGGACGGAUCCAUUCAAACGGGCGGGCGUGGACUCCAAUUUCGAUCGUUUGCCAUGAAAAACAGAGUGCAUUCUUCUUAUUUAUUUCUUUUCAUUUGCCUUCAGCAGCUUCCAUUCAUUCCACACAGCCGCCAAUCAGCACCGAUUGGCUGCCGUGUCAAAUGACCUGGGGGGGGGGGGG